rnacentral:rRNA from 1 species
GACGAACGCUGGCGGCGUGCUUAACACAUGCAAGUCGAACGAUGAAGCCGGAGCUUGCUCUGGUGAAUUAGUGGCGAACGGGUGAGUAACACGUGAGUAACCUGCCCUUGACUCUGAGAUAACUGCGGGAAACUGUAGCUAAUACCGGAUACGACCCUCGGAGGCAUCUCUUGGGGGUGGAAGGAAUUUCGGUCAAGGAUGGACUCGCGGCCUAUCAGCUAGUUGGUGAGGUAAAGGCUCACCAAGGCGACGACGGGUAGCCGGCCUGAGAGGGUGACCGGCCACACUGGGACUGAGACACGGCCCAGACUCCUACGGGAGGUAGCAGUGGGGAAGAUUGCACAAUGGGCGCAAGCCUGAUGCAGCAACGCCGCGUGAGGGAUGACGGCCUUCGGGUUGUAAACCUCUUUUAGCAGGGAAGAAGCGAAAGUGACGGUACCUGCAGAAAAAGCACCGGCUAACUACGUGCCAGCCGCCGCAGUAA